UUUCAACAACGGAUCUCUUGGUUCUGGCAUCGAUGAAGAACGCAGCGAAAUGCGAUAAGUAAUGUGAAUUGCAGAAUUCAGUGAAUCAUCGAAUCUUUGAACGCACAUUGCGCCCGGCAGUAAUCUGCCGGGCAUGCCUGUCCGAGCG
rnacentral:rRNA from 1 species